rnacentral:rRNA from 1 species
UACGUAGGGACCAAGCGUUGUUCGGAUUUACUGGGCGUAAAGGGCGCGUAGGCGGCGUGUUAAGUCACUUGUGAAAUCUCUAAGCUUAACUUAGAACGGUCAAGUGAUACUGAUGUGCUAGAGUGCAGAAGGGGCAACCGGAAUUCUUGGUGUAGCGGUGAAAUGCGUAGAUAUCAAGAGGAACACCUGAGGUGAAGACGGGUUGCUGGGCUGACACUGACGCUGGAGGCGCGAAAAGCUAGGGGUAGCAAACGGG